UUGGCCCGUUCAGUGACAAGGCAUCCCUUCCGUGGGCGCAGGGCGGCCUGAGCCUCUAUGGCGAGCAGGAACCUGAAGAGAGGCAUUGUUCCUAUUGUUCAAACCAGUCUGCUCGGACGGCCUGGCAGUUCAGCCCCAACAGGCUAAGUACAUCCCAGCAACUGUUGGCUGAGCCAGCACUGUGGCGGUGAUGUCAUGGGUGCCAAGCAACAUUCCUUGUUCUGUUUACACCCGAGUACAAAUUGGAUCCAGAGCCCCCAAGUCCUACAGAGGUAGGUAAGCCUUGCUAGUGCCAGGUUAUAAAUUGCAUGCAGCCACAAAACGCCUGAAAGGAUUUUUGACUUUCAAAAUAUGAUCCAGAGUCUCCAAUAGAUGCUGGAUGUGGCUGGAGAUGUGAAGAGGUGCUUCCUGGUCAUCAAGCAGCUUGAAACCCACUGCUGGGAGGGCAUGGUGAGUUAAGGAGGAACUGUGAGCGGAAAGGUGAGUUCUGGAGGCAGGAAGCCCAAUAUCAAGAUGCCAGCAGGAUUGGUGUCUGCCUUAACUCAUCCCAGCAUCAGCUCCAAAGUCCAGCCUAAUCUAAACAUCAUCUAACUCGGGGAUGGUGAAACUGGAGCUCUAACUCCUCCUGAGGCAAAUUCCUGUCCUGCUGUGAACCUGUGGAACCAGCAUGCACCGAACCUCAGUGUAAGAAGAGCAGCCCCACGUGCAGGGACAGUGCCAAGCUGCCAUGCGGGAGGCCAGUCAGCACCUGGAAGCUGUGCCUGCAAACCAUCCCCCCUGCUUUCAGACGGCACUGGGCGGGGAGCCACAUCAGGGUGCGUCCCUCACUCGGAUGGGCCUCUGCUGAAGGCUGCCCGCAGGUCACCAGGGGAUCAGAUGUGUGUUUGUACUCAGUUUCCCAAAGCCCCUCUAACUGGUCCCAUAUAAACACCAGUUUUCAAAGGCCCAGAAGAGCCAGAAUGUCUCCAAUGGAAGGGAGCCUUUGCACCCAGAGGCGGGCUGAUGCGGGGAAAAGAAUCCCACCGUCCCAGCAUUGGUGGGUCAGGAGAGUAGAGCGCCCCUCUCCAUCUUAUGGGAUGCAUGUGACUGGCAGCACAGGGUAGCAGUUUGGUCCCCAGGCCUGGCAGACUGCAGUGUUUAAGUUCUGGCUUUGCCUCUUCCUAGCAGAGUGAUCCUGGGUUAAGUUUUCAAUAUCUCUGUUUCAGUUGUCUCCCCUGAGAGGUGGGAGAUGAAAAUAAUUCCCAUCUCGUGGGGUGACGUUAAGAAUUAAAUGAAUUGAUUCAA